AGACAGAGGGUGCAAGCGUUGUUCGGAAUUUCUGGGCGUAAAGGGCGCGUAGGCUGUCCAUCAAGUCCGGUGUGAAAGCCCCCGGCUCAACUGGGGAACUGCAUCGGAAACUGGUGGACUCGAGUACCGGAGAGGAGGGUGGAAUUCCUGGUGUAGCGGUGAAAUGCGUAGAUAUCAGGAGGAACACCGGUGGCGAAGGCGGCCCUCUGGACGAGUACUGACGCUGAGGCGCGAAUGCGUGGGGAUCAAACA
rnacentral:rRNA from 1 species